ACCUAACUCACUUGUUUUAAGAUUUUCCACAGGCCAAACUGCACCAGCUUUUUCAUGUUAUCUUACGGUGGACUUCUCAACUCAUUUCAUACCAGAUUUGGCAAAAACACUCUCAGUUCAGCUGCUGUCUUCAAAUUGGAAUGCUGUGACAAGACACCCUGUUGCUUUUUCUGGUUUCUCCUGCACAGAGGCUGCUGUCCUGUGGGUCUUGUGAUUGUUGAUGGUUAUUGGUUUGCCUUUUCAUCCACAGCAGAGCUCAAAAUGAGCACAGCUUCCCCACAGAGCGAGUGCUAUGAGCAAUGUAGCAGUUCAUCUGCUUCAAGGUCUUCUUCCCACUACCAGUGA
rnacentral:lncRNA from 13 species